rnacentral:rRNA from 1 species
CAGAGGGGGCAAGCGUUGUUCGGAAUUACUGGGCGUAAAGGGCGCGUAGGCGGCCUUCUAAGUCGAACGUGAAAUCCCUGGGCUCAACCCAGGAACUGCGUCCGAUACUGGAAGGCUUGAAUCCGGGAGAGGGAUGCGGAAUUCCAGGUGUAGCGGUGAAAUGCGUAGAUAUCUGGAGGAACACCGGUGGCGAAGGCGGCAUCCUGGACCGGUAUUGACGCUGAGGCGCGAAAGCCAGGGGAGCAAACGGG